UGACCAGCACCCCGAGUGGUCGGGACGAUUAUUGGGCCUAAAGCAUCCGUAGCCGGUCAUGCAAGUCUUCCGGUUAAAUCCAGCCGCUCAACGGUUGGGCUGCGGAGGAUACUACGUGGCUAGGAGGCGGGAGAGGCAAGCGGUGCUCAGUGGGUAGGGGUAAAAUCCUUUGAAUCCAUUGAAGACCACCAGUUGGCGAAGGCGGCUUGCCAGAACGCGCUCGACGGUGACGGGAUGAAAGCUGGGGGAGCAAACCGG
rnacentral:rRNA from 1 species